CGCUGGCCCAUGUGCGGUCGCUGCGGGUGCAGCGCGCCAGCGAGCUGAUGGACCUGCCGCCGGCGACGCAGCGCAACCUGGAGCUGGUGCAGACGCUGCG
rnacentral:SRP_RNA from 1 species